AACUCUAGGAUAAUUACGCAUAACGAAACUGUCAUUCUCAUAGAACCCCCAAGAAGGGCAGCUGAACCUAAAACAGCAAACAGGCCAUGGUUAAGAGUCGAGUGCGAACCAAACAUCAUCCCAAUAAAUCGACCAUAAGCGGCACCUGUCACAAUGACAGGUACAAAGAGACCUGCCGACCAUGGUUAAGAGUCGAGUGUGAACCAAACAUCAUCCCAAUAAAUCGACCAUAAGCGGCACCUGUCACAAUGACAGGUACAAAGAGACCUGCCGGUGUGACAAUCCCAUAACUAAAGAUGCUCAGGAAAAAACAGGUGAUAAAGAAAAUUAGCAUCGAGAGAUGGUGAAACUCAGCAUCAGUAUCCUUGCUGAAAAGGUUUUUGAUUGCAUCA
rnacentral:lncRNA from 1 species